rnacentral:rRNA from 1 species
CUACGGGGCGCACCAGUGGGGAAUUUUGCGCAAUGGGCGAAAGCCUGACGCAGCAACGCCGCGUGGAGGAUGAAGGCCUUCGGGUCGUAAACUCCUGUCAGGGGGGAAGAAAACCCCGAAAGGGGUCUGACUGUACCCCCGGAGGAAGCCACGGCUAACUCCGUGCCAGCAGCCGCGGUAAUACGGAGGUGGCAAGCGUUGUUCGGAAUUACUGGGCGUAAAGGGCGCGUAGGCGGCUUGGCAAGUCAGGUGUGAAAGCCCCGGGCUUAACUCGGGAACUGCAUCUGAAACUGCUUAGCUUGAGUUCUGGAGGGGGCAGUGGAAUUCCCAGUGUAGCGGUGAAAUGCGUAGAUAUUGGGAGGAACACCUGCGGCGAAGGCGGCUGCCUGGACAGUAACUGACGCUGAGGCGCGAAAGCUAGGGGAGCAAACGGGAUUAGAUACCCUAGUAGUC